CCUUGUUUAGUUUCAAAAAUAUUUACAAAAUUUUUCACAUUUCGUAUCACAUCGAAUCUUACAAUACAUAUAUGAAGCACUAAAUAUAAAUAAAAGAAAUAACUAAUUGCAUAGUUUUAACUAUAAUUUACGAGAUGAAUCUUUUAAGUUUAAUUAAUCCAUGAUUAGAUAAUUUUUUUUAAAUAUAAAUAAAAAUGUUACCAUAUACAUUUAAAAAAAUUGGAACUAACCUAAACAAACAGGGUCGCCGCAGUUGUCAGCUACAGCCUACAGGGUCGCCUGUACUGGCGCUGGCAGGUGGCAGGUGAACGACCCUAGCGGCGACUCGGGACUGGGCGAGCAGUAACGGUGGGGACCAGAGCCAACAGCUGGGAAAAGGAAAGCAUGAGGAGAUGAAGGGGGGAAGAAUAGUGCGGUGCAGGCAUAAUAUAACAUUUUUUAAGAUACAUGCAACAUUUAUAUUUUUAAAUAAAAUUAUAAAAAACUAAAUUUAAAGAUCUUUCUAAUGAUACUAAUUAUGUACCAUAACUAUUAAUAUUUUUUAUAUAUGUAAUUAAAGUUAUUUCCUGGAAAGGGUAAACGACAGUUAUUUAGGGACAGAGAGAGUACAAAUAAAAAUGCUACCGUGCCGAAAUAAAAAAAAGCUAAAUCUAAACAAGGUCUGUUCAAUAAAAUAUAGUUUGAAUGCCAAAAAUAUACUCAUCCGUUCGUAAAUAAAUACACAUCUGGUUUGAUGAGAAGUCAA
rnacentral:lncRNA from 1 species